rnacentral:rRNA from 1 species
AUUGAACGCUGGCGGCAUGCCUUACACAUGCAAGUCGAACGGCAGCACGGGAGCAAUCCUGGUGGCGAGUGGCGAACGGGUGAGUAAUAUAUCGGAACGUACCUUAUCGUGGGGGAUAACGCAGCGAAAGCUGUGCUAAUACCGCAUACGCCCUGAGGGGGAAAGCGGGGGAUCGCAAGACCUCGCGCGAUUAGAGCGGCCGAUGCCUGAUUAGCUUGUUGGUGGGGUAAAAGCCCACCAAGGCGACGAUCAGUAGCUGGUCUGAGAGGACGAUCAGCCACACUGGGACUGAGACACGGCCCAGACUCCUACGGGAGGCAGCAGUGGGGAAUUUUGGACAAUGGGGGCAACCCUGAUCCAGCAAUGCCGCGUGAGUGAAGAAGGCCUUCGGGUUGUAAAGCUCUUUUGUCAGGGAAGAAACACCGGCUCUAACACAGUCCGGGAAUGACGGUACCUGAAGAAUAAGCACCGGCUAACUACGUGCCAGCCGCCGCCGUAACAC